GGCCUGGUGGCAGAAAGGUUAUGCAGUGGCCUGCAAAGCCAUCUAUGUCGGUUCGAUUCCGGCCUCAGGCCUCCA
rnacentral:tRNA from 1 species